rnacentral:rRNA from 1 species
AUUGAACGCUGGCGGCAUGCCUUACACAUGCAAGUCGAACGGUAACAGGUUAAGCUGACGAGUGGCGAACGGGUGAGUAAUAUAUCGGAACGUGCCCAGUCGUGGGGGAUAACGUAGCGAAAGCUACGCUAAUACCGCAUACGAUCCAUGGAUGAAAGCGGGGGAUCGCAAGACCUCGCGCGAUUGGAGGGGCCGAUAUCAGAUUAGCUAGUUGGUGAGGUAAAGGCUCCACAAGGCGACGAUCUGUAGCGGGUCUGAGAGGACGACCAGCCAGACUGGAACUGAGACACGGUCCAGACUCCUACGGGAGGCAGCAGUGGGGAAUUUUGGACAAUGGGCGCAAGCCUGAUCCAGCAAUGCCGCGUGCAGGAUGAAGGCCUUCGGGUUGUAAACUGCUUUUGUACGGAACGAAACGGUGAGCUCUAAUACAGUUUGCUAAUGACGGUACCGUAAGAAUAAGCACCGGCUAACUACGUGCCAGCCGCCGCCGUAA